rnacentral:lncRNA from 1 species
GGCAUCAUUGGGAAAGGCAAGACUGUCGGCAAAUAUGUCACCACCACGCUCUUCCUCUACUUCGCCUGCCUCUUACCGACCAUUGCUUUUGGAUCCCUCAACGAUGAGAACACAAACGGAGCCAUCGAUGUGCAGAAGACCAUAGCAGGACAGAGCAUCGGAGGCCUCUUGUAUGCACUGUUCUCUGGGCAGCCCCUGGUGAUCCUGUUGACAACCGCACCCCUGGCCAUCUACACCCAGGUGAUCCGGGUCAUCUGUGAUGACUACAACCUGGACUUCAACGCCUUCUAUGCGUGGACAGGCCUGUGGAACAGCUUCUUCCUUGCGCUUUAUGCCUUCCUCAACCUCAGCCUGCUUAUGAAUCUCUUUAAGAGGUGAUUUGUCCUGGGCUGCAGGGUCCGGAGAUGUGAGUCAGCCUCAUGACAAAGCUCUGUAACCCCAGGAUAGCGUGUUCUCCAAGAGGUUGAGGUGGGCUUCUUAGGAGUGGCCCCACUGGGGAGUGGUCCUUCCAUGGGGAGGGUCUAUGCAGGGAUUUGGGGAGGCCUUCACUAGUUACCCACACACAUCUCGAGGCAAUUCACCUCCUUGCAGGUCAACAGAGGAGAUCAUUGCUCUGUUCAUUUCCAUCACGUUUGUGCUGGACGCUGUCAAGGGCAUGGUCAAAA